GCCCUUGUGGCGGAAUUGGUAGACGCGGCAGACUCAAAAUCUGUUGUUUGUAGAAACGUGGGAGUUCGAGUCUCCCCGAGGGCACCA
rnacentral:tRNA from 1 species